rnacentral:rRNA from 1 species
CCUAACACAUGCAAGUCGAACGGUAACAGGAAGAAGCUUGCUUCUUUGCUGACGAGUGGCGGACGGGUGAGUAAUGUCUGGGAAACUGCCUGAUGGAGGGGGAUAACUACUGGAAACGGUAGCUAAUACCGCAUAACGUCGCAAGACCAAAGAGGGGGACCUUCGGGCCUCUUGCCAUCGGAUGUGCCCAGAUGGGAUUAGCUAGUAGGUGGGGUAACGGCCCACCUAGGCGACGAUCCCUAGCUGGUCUGAGAGGAUGACCAGCCACACUGGAACUGAGACACGGUCCAGACUCCUACGGGAGGCAGCAGUGGGGAAUAUUGCACAAUGGGCGCAAGCCUGAUGCAGCCAUGCCGCGUGUAUGAAGAAGGCCUUCGGGUUGUAAAGUACUUUCAGCGGGGAGGAAGGGAGUAAAGUUAAUACCUUUGCUCAUUGACGUUACCCGCAGAAGAAGCACCGGCUAACUCCGUGCCAGC